rnacentral:rRNA from 1 species
GACGAACGCUGGCGGCGUGCUUAACACAUGCAAGUCGAACGGAAAGGCCCUGCUUGCAGGGUACUCGAGUGGCGAACGGGUGGGUAACACGUGGGUGAUCUGCCCUGCACUUCGGGAUAAGCCUGGGAAACUGGGUCUAAUACCGGAUAUGACCUUCCAUGUAGUGUGGGGGGUGGAAAGAUUUAUCGGUGUGGGAUGAGCCCGCGGCCUAUCAGCUUGUUGGUGGGGUAAUGGCCUACCAAGGCGUCGACGGGUAGCCGGCCUGAGAGGGUGGACGGCCACAUUGGGACUGAGAUACGGCCCAGACUCCUACGGGAGGCAGCAGUGGGGAAUAUUGCACAAUGGGCGGAAGCCUGAUGCAGCGACGCCGCGUGGGGGAUGACGGCCUUCGGGUUGUAAACCUCUUUCGACAGGGACGAAGCUUCGGUGACGGUACCUGUAUAAGAAGCACCGGCUAACUACGUG